GGGCGUAUAGCUCAGUUGGUUAGAGUACGUCGUUCACACCGACGGGGUCCACGGUUCGAGUCCGUGUACGCCCA
rnacentral:tRNA from 1 species